GCGAGUGUGCUGGAAUAGGCAGACAGGCACGUUUGAGGGGCGUGUGUUUCACGACGUACGGGUUCAAGUCCGUCACUCGCACCA
rnacentral:tRNA from 1 species